CCUACGGGCGGCAGCAGUGAGGAAUAUUGGUCAAUGGCCGGGAGGCUGAACCAGCCAAGUCGCGUGAGGGAAGACGGCCCUACGGGUUGUAAACCUCUUUUGUCAGGGAGCAAGGUGCAGGUUGGGACCUGCUGUGAGAGUACCUGAAGAAAAAGCAUCGGCUAACUCCGUGCCAGCAGCCGCGGUAAUACGGAGGAUGCGAGCGUUAUCCGGAUUGAUUGGGUUUAAAGGGUGCGCAGGCGGAGGCACAAGUCAGCGGGAAAAUCGCGGGGCUCAACCCCGCUCCGCCGUUGAAACUGUGUCCCUUGAGUGCGCGAAGGGUAGGCGGAAUGCGUGGUGUAGCGGUGAAAUGCGUAGAGAUCACGCAGAACUCCGAUCGCGAAGGCAGCCUACCGGCGCGCAACUGACGCUCAUGCACGAAAGCGUGGGUAUCGAACAGGAUUAGAUACCCUUGUAGUC
rnacentral:rRNA from 1 species